rnacentral:misc_RNA from 1 species
CCAAAACAAUUCAAUCAAGUUUUUCAUUAAAAAGAGGAAAUUUUCAAUUGUGUGCAUGCCUUGUACACAAAAUAAUUGUCCCAACACAAAAUUAUCUUCUCAAACACGCAAUGCUCCAAAUUAUUUUUCUCCAUACACAUCCAUAAAAAGAUGGGUUGCAAAACUAUGCCGUGGACAUGAUGCAAUCAAUGGCCUGCUUGCAAAUUCCUGUCAUUGUAGCCUCAGGCCCAUAAACCUGCAGAGAAAAUGAAUUGACUCUGUUAAACCUCAAAUAUGUAAAUGUAAAAUGACUUCCAGAUUAUGGAAAAUGGAAAGCAGAAAUAUAUAUUUUCUAAUCACAAGUAUGGCCCAUUGGAUUUUUCUACUUCACUGUCUUCAAAGGUAGAAUGAAAUUUAUGUUGUUUUUAAUGCAAAAAAGAAUCCCAGUUUUUCCAACAGGUAGUAUGCAAUUCAGCUACUAAUUAUAAGUUUUGUUUAUGUGUGGAAUUAAGGAUCACCAGGCCCAAUUAAAAAUGUGCAUCAUGUCAUUUCAUACCUCAAGAGGCACCCCCAACUCUUCUCCCAAAGAGCGCAUCUUUGCCAAACCAAUCUGGUAGUUUGGACCACCUCUUCGAACAUAGAUGUGCAUUCUUGCUGCUUUUAACUUGGAUUCCUUUUCUCUGAGGGCUCGAAUGAUGCCAUUGAAAGUAGCUGCAACAUCUGUGAAGUUAGCAAUGCCACCUCCAAUAAGAAGGGCCCUUUUACGACCAUCAGGAUUAGCAGUAGCACAAUCAAUUACAACUCUUGCAUAUUGCAAGACUUCCUCCUCAUUAGGAGCUCCACUAUAUUCUGCAUAGUUGCCAAGCUCUGAUGCAUAACCUAAAUCGCCGACAGUAUCGGCAUAUAUAACACUUGCACCACCUCCAGCUACCAUCGUCCAGAUACGACCUUUUGGGUUUAAAACAGUGAAUUUCAAAGACGCACUUGUCUUUUCAUCCAGUGAAUGAAUGAAGCUUUCAGUAGAGCUCAGAACUCGUCCAAAAGGGAGAGGAAACUCUAUGUUACCCCACUUCUUGAAGUUCUUGAAGGCAGCAGUGUCAUCCAGCUCUCCUCGCAUAUCCAAUGGAUAUGGCUCUCCAUUUACCAGGGUAAACGGAUUCAUCUCUAGAAAACUGAAGUCCAAAUCUUGAAAGACAGCAAAGACGCCCAUUAUGAAGCCACCAAUUUUACCUCGAAUCUCCAAAGGAAGUGUAGCAAUCAAUGGAGCACAUGCCUCCAAGGUCAUAGGUUUCUCAGUAGGAAGGAAUAUGGUCUUAACCUUAUCCCAGUUCUCUUCAAUUUCAAUACCCCCGCAUUCUGAAAAGCUAAUGGUGGAGCCAAGUCUUUCAGAAACUAUUGAGAGGUAGAAUUCUUGGUCAUGUGGAACAAAUGGUUCAACAAUGAAUGUAGUUAUUGGUGCCUUGCAGCCGCCCAUUUCAACCUCAACACCAAGGCGUCCUUUCACAAAUUCAGCAACUUGAGCUAGAUCUAAAUUCAAAGCUACCAAACCGCUCUUCCCACGUUUCCCAAAUAGCAUAUCGGGCUUCACCACCAAUUUUGAAGAAGAAAGCCAUGGUUCUUGAUUUGUUAACUCAGUGAAGUCCGUAGACUCAGUCACCUGAGCAGAGCAAAUCUGGAGAUCAAUAUUAGCAAGGCGUUUCAAGUGCUCCUUGAGAAGUCUCUUGGAAUCAUACUCUCUAAUCUUCUUUCGAGCCAUUAUCAAAUUCAAUUCAGGAUCAAACCCAACUACUAGGAGAAGAGAAGACGGUCAGGAGAGCCAGAGGAUGCGCCUGGUUGGUGGGCGAUUU